rnacentral:rRNA from 1 species
GAUGAACGCUGGCGGCGUGCUUAACACAUGCAAGUCGAACGGAAAGGCCCAAGCUUGCUUGGGUCCUCGAGUGGCGAACGGGUGAGUAACACGUGGGUGAUCUGCCCUGCACUUCGGGAUAAGCCUGGGAAACUGGGUCUAAUACCGGAUAGGACCACUUCUUGGAUGUUGUGGUGGAAAGUUUUUUCGGUGUGGGAUGAGCUCGCGGCCUAUCAGCUUGUUGGUGGGGUAAUGGCCUACCAAGGCGUCGACGGGUAGCCGGCCUGAGAGGGUGUACGGCCACAUUGGGACUGAGAUACGGCCCAGACUCCUACGGGAGGCAGCAGUGGGGAAUAUUGCACAAUGGGCGCAAGCCUGAUGCAGCGACGCCGCGUGGGGGAUGACGGCCUUCGGGUUGUAAACUCCUUUCGCUAGGGACGAAGCGUUUUGUGACGGUACCUGGAGAAGAAGCACCGGCUAACUACGU